GAAGUGUAAGGUGUUAUUAAAUCCAAACAUUCUCGCAAGUACUGUACGUCUCACAGUGAAACUACCUUCUUUGAAUUUGAAAUUCAGUGAUGCCAAGAUUAAGGUCUAUGUGGCACUUGAUGAGCGGCGAACGCCAUGGAUUACGACCUGUUUGAUUCGAAGCGGGUGCUUUCACUGUGUACGUUACAGCACUAGCUUCUUCUGAUUGCAUUAGCAUCUUUCACUUC